rnacentral:piRNA from 1 species
UCUGAUUGUCAAGAUGCUCAGA